rnacentral:lncRNA from 1 species
CUGCCCAGGUAGGGAGCUCAAAAGAACGCGCGGUCCCGUGAGAGGUGGGAUUAGGUUCCAUAACACUGUGAAACAGUGAUCUGUUUUUCUGUUUUGUUUUGUUUUUUCUUUUUAGGGUCACAACUGCAGCAUAGGGAAGUUCCCAGGCUAGGGGCAGAAUAGGACCUGUAGCUGCCGGCCUACGCCACAGCCACAGCAACACCAGAUCCAAGCUGCAUCUUCGACCUAUGCCGCAGCUUGCGACAACACUGGAUACUUAACUCACUGAGUGAGACCAGGGAUCGAACUUGCAUCCUCAUGGAUACUAGAUGGGUUCUUAACCCACCGAGCACAAAGGGAAUUCCUUAUCUAUUUUUUUUUUUUAAAUACGCCCUCUUUAUUUUAGAAAAAGAUUUAAAAAUAUAGGAUCUCAGAAACAUAUAGCUAAGAACAAAGAGUGAAUAUAUUCUGAAUACUAAAAUUAGGCUAUACCCUUUCUUAUCUAUUUUUUGAGGACACACACAUUAGACAUAUUUUGGGAAGAGUUCUACUAAGUGGACUCUGGGUCGGUCACUUAAGAUUGAACCUUCACUUGGGGGGAUGCAUGGCCAGGUUGCAAGGUUGCCAUGGUGACCAGAGCAUCAGGCGUGGUGAUGAGUAUUUGCUGGGUGUCUCCUGAAUGCAGGGCAUGGAGGAUUCCCAGCUAGAAUGGCACCUCCAACCCCAGGAAGUUCCAGUCUGCGAUGGAAGGACAAAACCCGAGGGGGAGAGAGCUUUGCAGUGGCCACUCUGCUGGAGUUCAGCAUGAUAGAUGACAAUGGCAAUGAGAAAAAGCCACCAAUGGUCCGGACACCGUGUUUGCCAAGGAAUUGCAGAGUAAAGAAAAAUAAAUGA